AGUAUAGAAGUCACAGUAUGGUAUUGAUACAAUUCAUGCAAAGCUGGAGCUACCUGACACAAGCUAACAUUGCAUGAAUUGUAUCAAUACCAUACUGUGACAUUUUAAAA